GAUGAACGCUGGCGGCGUGCCUAAUACAUGCAAGUCGAGCGAACAGAUGAGGAGCUUGCUCCUCUGACGUUAGCGGCGGACGGGUGAGUAACACGUGGAUAACCUACCUAUAAGACUGGGGUAACUUCGGGAAACCGGAGCUAAUACCGGAUAAUAUAUUGAACCGCAUGGUUCAAUAGUGAAAGACGGUUUUGCUGUCACUUAUAGAUGGAUCCGCGCCGCAUUAGCUAGUUGGUAAGGUAACGGCUUACCAAGGCAACGAUGCGUAGCCGACCUGAGAGGGUGAUCGGCCACACUGGAACUGAGACACGGUCCAGACUCCUACGGGAGGCAGCAGUAGGGAAUCUUCCGCAAUGGGCGAAAGCCUGACGGAGCAACGCCGCGUGAGUGAUGAAGGUCUUCGGAUCGUAAAACUCUGUUAUUGGGGAAGAACAAAUGUGUAAGUAACUAUGCACGUCUUGACGGUACCUAAUCAGAAAGCCACGGCUAACUACGUG
rnacentral:rRNA from 1 species